ACACACACACACAUACAAUCUGCAGCACCCCCUCCUUUGUCCCUCAGACACAGAUCUAAGUUUAGUUAUAGUUAUAGAUACAAUAUGCUCGUAAUGAAGCGAGAGAGAACGGAGCGAAACACUUUUGAAAUUGUGCCUUCAACACCCUGAAACCCAACAGUCCUGGAUCCGUGGAUCACGGGACUCGCUUCCCCCAACUCUGGAGAUUUUACACAAAAGACACGUCACAAAGGACCCCCCUGUCCUGCCACACUUUACUCACAUUUUUUAAGGCUAUUUCACGAGUUCCACAGAAAACAGAAGCAGCAGAAAAUGCAGAUGGAAAACUUAAGAGAAGAGAAAUGGAAGAAAUUGAGGAAAAGAAAAGGAAAGGAAAAAAAACCUAAACUAAGUUCAAGACUGAUGAUGUUUAUUGAUAAUUAAAUGAAGAAUUUCAUGAACAUUUGUUUUCACAUUCGGAUAGAAUCGAUAUAAUUGUUGUUGUAUAGGCAAUUAAAGGGCCACACACCUUAUAGGAA